rnacentral:lncRNA from 1 species
CAUCGUUGACUUCAUCACUACUUGGUCUUCCAUUGAAUGUUGAAAGCAAGAUAUACUCCUCCUUCCCAGAUGGCUGAUCGACUCAUUUGUACAAUUCGAAGGGUAGGGGUAGGACAUCCUGCAAUGAAGAAUUCAUAUGUCAUUCAACUUCAUUGAAAACUGCAGCAACUCCAAUUUUGAUUGACGCAGAGAUGAAGCUCUUUGAAGCUUAGAGAUAUUGAUGAAACUGAAAUAUGAAGCAAAAGCAUAAGCAUUCGCCUCUCGACACAUAUCAAUGAUAUAUGACGUAAUGUUCGUCUGAUUCUUGCCUCAGUGAAACAAGAAUCGACGAUUCUUACUUCCAACAUACUACACUUCAGGCUCAGCUACCAGGCAAACCAAUAGACCUUUGAAGUUAGCAAACAAUCUCCUUGAAAGAACAGAUAAACAAUAUCUGGAGAGUACCAAUGUCUUGACAUCUACACCAUUGAUAGAUAAGAUAAUGUUUUGCACACCAUCGAGAAUCACUUUUUCAUGCAUCCAGAAGGAAAUGCAUACUUCCACACGCAACUUUCAUUCUGAGAAAGCUUAGCAAUUCUUCUGCGUUGUCUUUUUUCUUUGGCUAGGCAAGGGGAUGGAGAAAGCAGAGAAGGGAAGACCUCUGGUGGUAAGGACGGGCCACCCCCAAGGCCAAAUCUUGAUUGAUUCUUGCGUUAUUGCAUGCAAAUUCAAUCAUUCAUUGUGCUCAAACAGUACUUCUGCACGGCCAUGGUUCUUUAAUAUGAGGUAUGUGUCAGAGAGAGGGGAAAUUUAC